CUCUUCUCUCACGUCUCUCAACCAAAACCCGCUGGGAAAGAAGACGAGAAAUUCAUCCGCAUCAAGGAGAACGGACAAAUUUAUCUUCCUGGGAGCGUCCCGGAAAAAUAAUGGGUCUCUGGGCAGUUUCAGAUACCAGAGAGAGAGCCAGGAAGAAGAUAUGUCAGAUCUAUGCAUGGAACCACGGAACUUUCUGUCUGGCUAGCAGGGGAGGCUAACAAACAGAACUUCAUGUGGAUGUUUUGAAACAAGAAAGCAGGUGCCUGAGAAGUUAUUUCUAAGAGCAGCAAGUGAAGGAUCCCGGCACAGUGUAUGAAGUCAUGCCCAUAAAGCUCUUCGGCAAAUCACUGCAUUGUUCCACCCGUUGGGUACAGCCCGCAAUGCGGCUGCAACUGACCGGGCCCAAAGACAAGCAACAGUGGUGUGACCUCUGGACUUGUCUAAUUUCUCCACUGGACUAAGCAACUGCCCCUCCAUUCCCUUCCCAUCAGGCACUAUCAGUGUGUCAGCUCUAAUAACAACUAGAAAAAUGGGGACAAUCGUUAUUCCCAAGCUACAAUUUGAGAAACAUCUAAGAGAGUCAUAAAAUCGAAUAAGGCUCAGCAGAGUGCCUUUAGGAAAAAAAAAAAACCAUCUCAUUUGUUGCAGGUUCUUAAAAUAGUUCCCAAUGCUGUCCUCCACCUUCACAAUUAUUUUUGUCUUCAGUUCUAAAUCUGAAUGGCACAGAGCAGCAGAAUUUAUACAUUUAAGUUCAUAAGAGAACAGACAGCUCAUUAAUUCUUAACGUUGGUGGGAUUUGACUGUUUGCCAUCGUAUGCUCCAUUCCGAAAUAUGUCUGGGUCUGCUUUUCUGAGAUGAUUAAAGUGUCUUAUUGAUAACCUUGCGGCUGUUAAGAACACGGUGCCCUUCACGUAUGAGACAAGGUUACACGCCCCUCCCACCCAAGGGAGGGUGUGGGCAACAUCAACACGAAUCAUCUCACGUUUAUCCAUUCACAACUUCAUUUAGUCAAAUAUUUGAGAUUUUCCCAUGUGCCAAGCAAGAGAAAAAGCCCUUGUCUUCCAAGGGGGAGACAAAUAAGCAAAUUUGUAACAUAAUGAAAAUGUUACAAAAAAAA